CUAGUUUAUUGUCCAAUGAUUGCACGUUGGCGAGAAAUAUUGACGGUAACAGCAGCUUUCCUAGUUGUCUUCUGCGGAUCCGGAUGAGGCAUCCAGCUCUUCAUCCUCUGCGUCGCUUCCUUUUGCGAAUAAUUGGGAUGUCUGCCCUGUGGGGUGUUUGGAGAAUAUAGUGUGAGUCCUGCUUGUUGUUGUUGAAGAAAUCUUCGUCUAAUCCGAGACGCGUUGUGAAAUCCUGCCCUGGAAUAAAGCUUGUUGUCCAAUAACUUGCACAGUGGUCGUUUGACCACAGGACUCUAGAGGCCACUACAUGCUGUGACAAGGGCCUGGAUGGUGACACAUUUUCUUCAAGCUACCUGACUAAAUACUGGGGACUUCAGUGCUACUGGAAGCAAGGGCCUUACCUGGGAGCACAGGAACAGUCUCUCUCUCUCUCUCUCUCUCUCUCUCUCUCUCUCUCUCUCUCUCUCUC